GCCCGGGUGGUGAAACUGGUAGACACGCAGGACUUAAAAUCCUGUGGCUGUAAUGGCCGUGCCGGUUCGAUUCCGGCUCCGGGUA
rnacentral:tRNA from 1 species